GACGAACGCUGGCGGCGUGCUUAACACAUGCAAGUCGAACGGAAAGGCCCUGCUUUUGUGGGCUGCUCGAGUGGCGAACGGGUGAGUAACACGUGAGUAACCUGCCCUUGCCUUUGGGGUAACUUCAGGAAACUGGGGCUAAUACCGGAUAAGAGCUCCUGCUGCAUGGUGGGGGUUGGAAAGUUUCGGCGGUUGGGGAUGUACUCGCGGCUUAUCAGCUCGUUGGUGGGGUAGUGGCUUACCAAGGUUUUGACGGGUAGCCGGCCUGAGAGGGUGACCGGCCACAUUGGGACUGGGAUACGGCCCAGACUCCUACGGGAGGGAGCAGAGCGGAAUAGAGCAAAAUGGGCGGAAGCCUGAUGCAGCAACGCCGCGUCGGGGAUGUCGGCCUUCGGGUAGUAAACCGAUUUCGCCUGUGACGAAGAGUGAGUGACGGUAAUGGGUAAAGAAGCGCCGGCUAACUACGUG
rnacentral:rRNA from 1 species